rnacentral:rRNA from 1 species
UGGUGAGGUAACGGCUCACCAUAGCAAUGAUGUAUAGGGGUUUUGAGAGGAAGGCCCCCCACAUUGGGACUGAGACACGGCCCAGACUCGCACGGGAGGCAGCAGUGAGGAGUAUUGGACAAUGGAAGGAAAUCUGAUCCAGCCAGACCGCUUGCAGGAAGACGGCAUUAUGGGUUGUAAACUGCUUUUAUACGGGAGCAAUAAGGGUUAAGAGUAAUCCGAUGAGAGUACGGUAAGAAUAAGGAUCGGUUAACUCCGGCACAGCAGCCGCGGUAAUACGGAGGAUCCGAGUGUUAUCCGGAAUUAUUGGGUUUAAAGGGUGCGUAGGCGGCCAUUUAAGUCAGCGGUGAAAUUUUGCAGCUUAACUGUAACAGUGCCGUUGAUACUGUUUGGAUAGGAUUUGGUUGUAGUGUGCGGCAUGUGUGGUGUAGCGGUGAAACGGUUAUCUAUCACACAGAACACCGAUUGCGAAGUCAGCACACUAAGUCAUUAUUGACGAUGAGGCACGAAAGUGUGGGGAUCAAACAGGAUUAGAUACCCUGGUAGUCCACACUGUAAACGAUGAUAACUCGCUGUCGGCGAUACAGCAGUCGGU